rnacentral:rRNA from 1 species
UAAGGAAUAUUGGUCAAUGGACGCAAGUCUGAACCAGCCAUGCCGCGUGGAGGAUGAAGGUCCUCUGGGUUGUAAACUUCUUUUAUCUGGGAAGAAAUCCAUUUUUUCUAAAAUGGUUGACGGUACCAGAUGAAUAAGCACCGGCUAACUCCGUGCCAGCAGCCGCGGUAAUACGGAGGGUGCAAGCGUUAUCCGGAUUCACUGGGUUUAAAGGGUGCGUAGGUGGGCAGGUAAGUCAGUGGUGAAAUCUCCGGGCUUAACCCGGAAACUGCCAUUGAUACUAUUUGUCUUGAAUACUGUGGAGGUCAGCGGAAUAUGUCACGUAGCGGUGAAAUGCUUAGAUAUGACAUAGAACACCAAUUGCGAAGGCAGCUGGCUACACAAAUAUUGACACUGAGGCACGAAAGCGUGGGGAGUCAAACAGGAUUAGAUACCCUGGUAGUCCACGCCCUAAACUAUGGAUACUCGACAUUUGCGAUAAACUAGCAAGUGUCCGAG